UACGAAGGGUGCAAGCGUUAUCCGGAUUCACUGGGUUUAAAGGGUGCGUCGGUCGGCUAGUAAGUCCGUGGUGAAAUCCCCGAGCUUAACUCGGGAACUGCCGUGGAUACUAUUAGUCUUGAAUAUCGUGGAGGUAAGCGGAAUAUGUCAUGUAGCGGUGAAAUGCUUAGAUAUGACAUAGAACACCGAUAGCGAAGGCAGCUUACUACGCGAUUAUUGACACUGAGGCACGAAAGCGUAAGGAUCAAACAGG
rnacentral:rRNA from 1 species